CAUUGAAAUUAGGCCAGUUAAUAACUCUACGAUGGCCUCUAACUGUUCAAGUGAAGAGAAGAGUCACAAGUCUCUUGAUUUACAUCAGAAGCUAGAAGUGGUGGGGCUUGGUCGGGAAGGCAGGUCCAAUGCCAAGAUGGGAAGAAAGCGAGGCCACUUGUGGCAAAUGGUCAGCUGCGGUGUGAGUGAAAAGGAACAGUUCUUGAAGGUAAUUAAAAGUGCUACUCCAGCGAACACAUGAAUGGUGAGAAAGGAAACAGGCUUCUUGCUGAUAUGGAGAAAGUUUGAGUGGUCUGGAUAGAAGAUCAAACCAGCCACAACAUUCCCUUAAGCCAAAGCCUAAUCCAGAGGAAGACCCUAACUCUCUUCAAUUCUGUGAAGGGUUGAGAGAAGAGAGAAAGCUGCAGAAGAAAAGUGGAAGCUAGCAGAGGUUUGUUCAUGAAGUUUGAGGAAAGAAUUCGUCUCCAUAAAAGUACAAGGUGAAGCAGCAAGUGCUGAUGGAGAAGCUGCAGCAAGUUCUCCAGAAGAUCUAGCUAAGAUCAUUGAUGAAGGUGGCUACUCUAAACAGAUUUUCAAUGAAGAUAAAACAGCCUUCUACUGGAAGAAGAUGCCAUCUAGGACUUUCAUAGCUAGAGAGGAGAAGUCAAUUCCUGACUUCAAGGACAGGCUCUCUUGUGAGGGGCUAGUGCAGCUGGUGACUUUAAGUGUAAGCCAAUACUCAUUGAUCAUUCAGAAAAUCCUAGGGCCCUUAAGGAUUAUGCAAAAUCUACUCUGCCCGUGACUCUGUAAGUGGAACAACAAAGCGUGGAUGAAAGCCCACCUGUUUAUGGCAUGGUUUACUGAAUAUUUAAGCCCACUGUCGAGACCUACUGCUCAGAAAAAAGAUUCCUUUCACUAUAUUACUGCUCAUUGAUAAGGUAUCUCAUCACCCAAGAGCUGUGAUUGCUCAUUGAUAAGGUAUCUCGUCACCCAAGAGCUGUGAUGGAGAUGUUCAAGGGAAUGAAUGCUGUGUUCAUGCUGCUAACACAACAUCCAUUCCACAGCCCAUGGAUCAAGGAGUAAUUUCAAUGUUAAUGUCUUAUUCUUUAAGAAAUACAUUUGAUAAGGCUAUGGCUGCCAUAGAUUGUGAUUCCUCUGAUGGACCUGGGCAAAGUCAAUUGCAAACCGUGUGGAGAGGAUUCACCAUUCUAGAUUUCAUUAAGAGCAUUUGUGAUUCAUGAGAGGAGGUCAAAAUAUCAACAUUGAUAGAAGUUUAGGAGAAGUUGGUUCCAGCCCUCAGGAAUGGCUUUGAGGAGCUGAAGGUUUCAGUGGAGGGAGUCACUGCAGAUGGGUGGAAACAGCAAGAGAACUAGAAUUAGAGGUGGCAUCUCUAUGAUUGAAUUGCUGCAAUCUCAUGAUAAAGCUUGAACGAAUGAAGGGCUGCUUCUUAGGGAUGAUCAAAGAAAGUAGUUUAUUGAAAUGGAAACUUCUGGUGAAGACGAUGCGAACAUUGUUGGAAACACAGCAAAGGAUUUGGAAUAUUUAUUAUUUACAGUUAGUCGAUAAAGCAGCAGCAGGGUUUGGGUGGAUUGAGUCCAAUUUUGAAAGAAGUUCUGGGAGUAAAAUGUUAUCAAACAGAGUUGCAUGCUACAGAAACAUCUUUUGUGGAAGGAAGAGUCCAUUGAUGUGGCAGACUUCACUGUUGUGUUAUUUUACAAAAUUGCCACAGCCACCCCCACCUUCAGCAACCACCACUCUAAUCAGUCAUCAGCC
rnacentral:lncRNA from 1 species